CUUAAGUGUGCAGACCCUGCGGGUUCGAGAACUAUGUAGACAUGACCCGAGAGACUCCUCGGUCAAUAUCCAAUAGCGGGACCUGGAUGCCCAUAUUGGAUCCUACAUAUUCUACGAAGAUCUUAUCGUUUGAACCUCAGUGCCAAGGAUUCAUAUAAUCCUGUACGUCAUUCCCUUUGUCCUUCGGUAUGUUACUUGCCCGAGAUUCGAUCGUCAGUAUCCGUAUACCUAUUUCAAUCUCGUUUACCGGCAAGUCUCUUUACUCGUUCCGUAAUACAAGAUCCCGCAACUUACACUAAGUUACAUUGCUUGCAAGGCUUGUGUGUGAUGUUGUAUUACCGAGUGGGCCCCGAGAUACCUCUC
rnacentral:lncRNA from 1 species